CCAGAGCUCUAAGCGUUAGUAACUUCAAGCAAAUUACCACAUAACAAUUCUCAUGUUUAAACAUGGAAGCACAGGAGUUCCCGUCAUAGCUCAGUGGUUAACGAAUCCGACUAGGAACCAUGAGGACACGGGUUCAAUCCCUGGCCUCGCUCAGUGGGUUAAGGAUCCAGCAUUGCUGUGGCUCUGGUGUAGGCCAUGGCUAUAGCUCCAAUUAGUCCCCUAGCUUGGGAACCUCCAUAUGCUGUGGGUGUGGCCCUCAAAAAGACAAAAAAAAAAAAAAUUAAGAAAUAAACACGGAAGCAUAAAACGAGAAUGUGGGUCACGGUCACCAUGCGAUUCCGUGAGAGUUGUGAAUGGAACCUCCUGAGGGAACCAAAAAUGAAAAGUUUAACUUAAGUUUUAUCUAUGGGAUUAUGUUUUCUAAAUUUAUUUGAUAAAUAUGUUGUAGGAAACAAUGUGAUGGGGAACAGGACAAGAGAUUUGCAUAUGCUGUCACACCCCAUACCACAUUUAAUCCAAAAACAUCAAGGUUAGCAACCUGCCCCUCCACACAUCUAUCAAUUCCAUGUGCAUCCAUCACUGGGCAGCAGUAAAAUUUCUUACUGUUGCUAGAGGGAAUGCCACAUGCUUCGGAGGCAGUGAGUUCAGUGUGACACACACAUGCAAACACAUUUGAACUUUCUCUCACCAGCCUGGUGAGCAGCAUUUCUUGGCUCAACCUCGACUGCAGUCAGUACCAGAAAUGCCUCCAAGGGUGGAGAAUCCAAAUCUGUCUUCACUAUGUGUCACUUUUAUUCCAGGUCAGAGAGGCGACAUUCUGAGGGUCCUAAUUAAAAAGUAAUUGAAUUUAUAUUUAGUGUGUGCAGGGCACUUAUAUGCUACAGAGACAAUGAUUGCUGCAACAAACCUGGUUCCCUUUUCUCGCUCAUGAUCAAAAUAGAGUAAAUUUCCCAAACUGUCUCAUUAUAGUGCAGGAGGAGACAAAAGAAAGCAUGUAAGUCAACGGAAUGUGGCAGACGUGAUGUACACCACUUCUAAGCCUGACUCCUAAUAUGUUCCCAAGCCAUGGAAAUGCAGAGCUAUAAGACAGAAGGAGCCUGGCUUUGUUAAUGACAACCAGGACUUGCAAGAGCAACUUUGCGUGACCUAAAAGCAAAUUUUAUUCUGUUGAACACAUGAGAUUUGAGAACCUGUUAGAGCUACUGCUGUAACUAAUACAUGCCCAAGCCUCGGCAAAGCAAAUGGAAACCCAAAUUAUAUGUAAUGAAAUCUUUCCUACAACUCCAUUGCUCCAGCAUGAUGUAUUUAACAUCUUCCUACUUCAGAGAAAACAUCUCCUUUAUCACAGUUUCAUGUUGAAUCAUUCUGCAAAGAAAAUCCAGUGUUGCUGCCUAUGUCAGUUUAAACUUUUAUCAGCCUCCAAUUCCUUCAUUACCACCAAUAUUUAGAUAUGGCUAAAUUAAGUCUACAGUUCAUCUGGAACAAGAGUCACCAGAAAGAAUUUGAGAGAAGAGAAAUAAAUUUUGAGGGGUUGCAUUAGAAGAAAAAGUAAAGCCUACAUUUGGAACGGCCAAAAAGCAGAUAUAGAUCAACAAAAUAUGUAUGCUGGGCCUAGAAACAGCCCCAUGUGCAAAUGGAAACUGAGAGAAAUAUAAAUGCAAGUAAGAUAGUAUCUAUCUUCAGGGAGUAUUUCGAGAUAACUCACAGUAGGGAAAAUUAAUUGAAAUGUUUUGGUGAAGAAGCUAAAAUGCUGAUUGGGCUUGCAUGUAAGAUAUUUUAAUAACUUUGGCAGUUCUCAAAUUCUUCAGUCUUCCUCAAAUCCAAGAGAUCUAUCCCUGGGGCAAUUUUCCUCUUUUGUAUUACCAUACCCAAAAUAUUUAUUUUAUUGACAGGAUUCCAUUGACUAGAAAACAUUUUUCCUUUACAACUCUGAAGUCUUAGCUCAAAUCCUUCUCUAACAGAGCUAAAGUGAAAUACAUUAUUAGUUGAUGCCAUUGCCUGAUACCCAAGGUGCUCAAGCAGAAAAUCUUCCUAAAAAUUGAAUGUUUUAUUUUAAAAAGAAAAAAGUUCUCCAAGUUAUUAAUUCCAGGCACCUGCAAUGCUGCAAAACUCAGGCAAUACAAUAAUAUUCUAGUUUAUGUUCAUGUCAGAGAUUGCUUAGGAAACUCACGUGUUAUAGCUACUAAAAGGAACAUCUUUCCAAACCCUCAUUUUAGGCAUAAAUUCAAAGAGGAAAGUAGAAGGUCCACCUCUCCUUUUCAUUUCAUAUCAACUUCAUUAAGACAUAAUUUACAUAAAAUAAAAUUCACUCAUUUUAAUAAAAUAAUGGGGAGUUCCCUGGUGGCCUAGUGGUUAAGACUUGGCACUGUCACUGCUGCAGCCAAGGUUUGAUUUACGGUCUGGGGACUAAGAUCCCACAUCAUGUUGCAGCCAAAACAAACAAACAAACAAAAAAAAAACAAAACAAAAAAACAAUAAAUAAUAAAAUAAUGCAAUUGUAUAAGCAGCACCACAAUCAAGUUAUAGAACAUUUCCAUAACCCAAUAUGUUCUUUCAUGCCCCUUGUGGUCAAUUUUCUCCUUAGCGACUACAGACUACUCAAAUGAUUUCCACCAUUAUAAUUUUAUUUUCUCCAGAAUUUUGUAAAAGGGGAAUCAUGCAGUACAUCAUCUCUGAUGUCUGGCUUCUUUCACUCAACAUCAUGGUUUUGAGAUUCAUCCAGGCUGUUGUGUAUAUUUGCUGAGCAGAAUUUCCCUGUAUAGAUACACCACAGACUAUCUACUCAUGGACAUUUGAGUUGUUUUCAGUUUUUACCAAUUACAAACACUCUCCACCAAGAUUUUUGUGGCCCUCACUGCUUUAAUUACUGUACCUGUAGAGAAAGUCUUGAAAUCAAGUUUGAGUCUCCUGAUUCUUCUUCAUUUUCAAAUUUGUUUUAGCUAUUCAAGGUCCUGUGCAUUUCCAAUAAAUUUUAGAAUCAACUGCCCAUUUCUAUAAAAAGGCACAGUGGUAUUUUGAUUGGGUUUGCAUAGAAUCUAUACAUUAAUUUCUAGCUCUAAUUUUAAGAAAUACCAAUACGAAGGUUCCUACUCUAACCUGUCUUUUGUCUCAUGCCUCUUUUUGUCUCAUGCCUCUACCACUAUGUGUUGAGACCAGGCUCUUAAACCACCAGUGUGGCAUAUAGCAAGGAUGGUUCUGAGCAUCCAGAAGGCCAUGCCUCAUCUUCCAGCUCCCACUGUUGAUCCCAGCCAUCUUUGGAACUCUAGCACCACCCCAGCUAAACAGCCUUUAGCUUUAUCUCAGUUGGCAGCCCACACUCCUUCCUUCUACCAAAAAUACUUGACUUACCCCAACUAUGCUCCUGGCAGUUCCCUUGGGCUCUGGCUUUCUCUGCUUCCAGGACCUGAGAGUGGUUUUGCAAAUAGAUCACACCUCCUAAAUCAAUCUCACACUGAAGCAGUGAGAAUUGUGACACAUUCCACCCACACUGAGUUCCCCUCAACAUGUGGCUCAUCCAUUCAUAGUCCUUUGCUUAUGCAGUUACCUGUACCCAAGAAACUUUACCAUUACACAGUAUUCUCUUGGUCUCUUACUUUUAGUUAAAUGCACUUAGCAAACAGAAAGUAUAUGAAAACAUAAGUGUCUUUUUUUUUAGUGCCAUUUCCUAAGCAUGAAAACAUUACUUGGGGGUGGUGAAGAAGGGUGGUGGGGAGAAGUAUUACAUUUAAUCUCAUCUCCUUUAACCUGACAGUCAAAAGGAAUCAAUAAAAAGGUUUAAAAAGAGUUCACCUUGUACCUCCGGUUAGUUCAAUGCCCCAUUAGUCCACAAGUAAUGGCUUUAUACCUAUAGGACAGAGAUUUUUUUUUCCUCUUUCUUUUAAAAGAAAGAAACCUCACAAAACUAAAAUCAUUGUAAAAGAAGCAACUGGCCCUUAAUUUCUCCACCAAGAGCUCACAAUGGAAGUCCUCACUUUAACUCAGGUCCUUUCAACAAGCAUCUGACCUGACAAACCAAACAGAAAGCUUUUUCCCUCUUUAGCAUAUAACAGUGAAGAACCAUCUUGAUUCCAUAUUACAUGUUCCUUUGCCUUUGUCCUCUGUCACUUGUGCUUAGUCAUCCUGCUUCUACACCUUUUGCAAAAUGAUGCUGUCUAUAGCAUGAAAUAUACAAGAUAGCCUAUUCUUAAGGCUGUGGCCUUUAAGAGUAUUACAGCUUUAGAAAAAAAGUUGCAGAACAUAGUAAUACCAUUUGUUUCAUUGGAGGUUGACAGGAACCUGACCUAGAUGGAGGGCUUAUAAGAACAAAGGAUUUCUGCACCAAGAAGUCUGCAACAACUAACCACACCCCUGCUCCCCACUCCCCUUUCUUGUAUAAAAGGAGCCCGAAUUCUGAGAGGAGAUGGUUUUUUGAGACAUUAGCCUUCCAUCUUCUCAGUCUGUUGGCUUUCAGAUUAAAAGUUGUUAUUCCUUGACCAAUAACUUGACUCCCUAUUUAUUUGCCUGUCAUGCUGCGAGCAGAAUGAGCUUAGACUCGUUAACAAUGUGAAAACCGUAAAUACACAUAAAACAUCUCUUGAAGAUUUGUUGUUUUAACUUCUUUAUCAGUCAUAAAGUAUGAGUUGUUGCUUUUUUUUUUCUAUUUAUUGUACUUGGUAAAAUACUCAAUAGAUGGGUAGAGUGUCAUGAAAAAAUAGAAAUACCUAUCUGAAAUUAUCUGUGUCUAUUUGUUUAUUACUUACAUAUUGUCUGUCUCAACACCAAUCCUCCUUCCUCCAGUGUCAAUUCCAAAAAAUAAAAACAUUCUGUGUCCCAUCCACUCACAUCUGAAAAGUAUCUGGCCAGGAUUAGGCACUCAGUAAAUUCUAUAUUUAUUGAUUGAUUGAUUGAUCAUCUUUUUGCCUUUUCUAGGGCCGCUCCCGCAGCACAUGGAGGUUCCAAGGCUAGGGGUCUAAUCGGAGCUGUAGCCAUCGGCCUA
rnacentral:lncRNA from 1 species